AGACUCCACCAGGUGUGAGCAGACGAUAAUCUCAACAGAGUCCACAGCUCCUGCCACCGGCCUACACCGGCCCACCUGCUGCGUGAUCUGAGGGAGAAUCCACAUCAGUAACUUUUCAUAAAGUGAGAAGUCAUGAAGAAUGAGUGGAACACCAAGCCAUCUCAGCAACCGGAAUUCUGGGUAAAUCCUCUGAAGUGACCCAUAAAUAAAUGCAAUAGCACCAUGA